GAUCCUGGCUCAGGAUGAACGCUAGCUAUAGGCUUAACACAUGCAAGUCGAGGGGCAGCAUGAACUUAGCUUGCUAAGUUUGAUGGCGACCGGCGCACGGGUGAGUAACACGUAUCCAACCUGCCGAUGACACGGGGAUAGCCUUUCGGAAGAAAGAUUAAUACCCGAUGGCAUAGUUCUUCCGCAUGGUAGAACUAUUAAAGAAUUUCGGUCAUCGAUGGGGAUGCGUUCCAUUAGGUUG
rnacentral:rRNA from 1 species